rnacentral:rRNA from 1 species
CGUACACUCUGCGGGAGGCAGCAGUGGGGAAUAUUGGACAAUGGGCGCAAGCCUGAUCCAGCCAUGCCGCGUGAGUGAUGAAGGCCCUAGGGUUGUAAAGCUCUUUCACCGGUGAAGAUAAUGACGGUAACCGGAGAAGAAGCCCCGGCUAACUUCGUGCCAGCAGCCGCGGUAAUACGAAGGGGGCUAGCGUUGUUCGGAUUUACUGGGCGUAAAGCGCACGUAGGCGGACUAUUAAGUCAGGGGUGAAAUCCCGGGGCUCAACCCCGGAACUGCCUUUGAUACUGGUAGUCUUGAGUUCGAGAGAGGUGAGUGGAAUUCCGAGUGUAGAGGUGAAAUUCGUAGAUAUUCGGAGGAACACCAGUGGCGAAGGCGGCUCACUGGCUCGAUACUGACGCUGAGGUGCGAAAGCGUGGGGAGCAAACAGGAUUAGAAACCCUAGUAGUCCCAUGA